GGCAAUGAGAAGAGGGACAAAAGAACAUGGGAUGCCUGUGUUCAUACCGGGAUCUGAUGUCAGUUCUUGUGAAGGGCCAGAAUGCAUAUUCCUGAAGUCUGGAAGGAGUCAUCCGCCAGCCUGUAUGAACACUAGGCUGUAGCUCCAAAACUAACUGUAGGAUUCUCUCUAAAAUAGUCUCAUUGAGAUUCUCGCACAAAAUUACCUAUACGUAACUUAAUCUAAUCUAACCUAACCGCUACAAGAGUAAAUGGGCCGAAACAUUACCAGACUUCGGGAAUAUGCCUCCAGAGGGAUACGGGGUAAGGUCGCUUCACACACAUCAGUGCCGUAUUCGUAAUUUUACUUUAAUGAUUUUCCUCAGGCUGAACGCCUCAUGCAGUUGACUCUCUGAGAGACGCAAAAAAAUAAUCAAUGGGAACAUUCUUGUAGCAGAAAUCCUGAACUUGUACCCGUGGAUUCAGACUUUUGAUGGCAUAAUCAAGGAGUUCCUGAGAUUAGAACCACAAGCGGAUGAACCAGACCCAAGAGUAGCAGUUUUGAAAGGGCUGGAGAAAUAUAGGCUCCCAAUAAUUGCCAUUCUCAAAAAAAGAAAAGCAGUUCCUCUGUAUAUGGAAACCUUACUUGAACUCUAUGACCACGAUGAAAGUCAAUAUGCCUGCUUAGUUAUAUUGGGGUUACUUUCACCUGCUUGGAGAAAGGAAAGACUCCAUUUUUACUAAGGUACCAGAAGAAGAACUAAGAACAGGGCAGUCUAGUGUGUAUUUGAUGGUGCACCUGUAGCUGAACCAACAUGUAUUUCUAUGGCUGUAGUCUCAUUGGUAGCAGGGCUUUGUGUUUAAUAUUGAACACCCAAAAAAUUGUGAACAUUUCCUCCGUUUCACAACAUCCCAUCUCUUAGGUAUCAAGUAUGACAAAGGUAACACUUCAAAAACAAGAUCUCUACUUGUAAAACUCAAUGAAGUAAAGACAGAAUUGAGCUACAAAAAUGCAUAAAUCUGCUUCCAAAUAUAUUCAACUCCACACAUAAUGCCUCUCUCUCUCUCUCUCUCUCUCUCUCUCUCUCUCUCUCUCUCUCUCUCUCUCUCUCUCUCUCUCUCUCUCUCUCUCUCUCUCUCUCUGUCACACACACACACACACACACACACACACACACACACACACACACACACACACACACACACACACACACACACACACACACACACACA